UGUAUCCUGAAUAAACCUCUUCCCCCAAGAGCAACCACAGAGAUCUCGCCUGAAUCUGUCCGUGGAAUACAAAUACACGUCGUUACAGACUGGCGCCCAUCGUCGAAUACGAACCCACGGUGACCUGCAACUGCACCCGUCUGGAUGCUUUCCAGCUUUUCUACCUGUAGGACACCUUUCCAUGGACACUAACUAUAUAACCAGGUAUUUCCUCGCCAUCGUGGUCGCGAGCACGGCAUUCUGCUGCUAGGCAGUAACGAACCGGAGCUCUUUAAAAAGUCCCGAAGCCGUCGUACAGCUCAGCGACUCGUUACAUAGUAGCGAGCUAUUAGAGCCCUUAUACGACUUCUGGCCAUUAUUCUCCGAGCACAAGAGAUCGCCGCGAUUCCGCGGCGACCCAAGGCUUUGUGACGAGACUUGCCGCGCCACGUGGCCACGUACACAAAGCACAGGCGAGCACUGCUUAGCACUGCCCGCGCUGAAGCUCUGGAGAAACCCCGCGGUGACCUCAGCACCGACUGCAGUAAACGUCGGAACCUGACAGAGGAUCCCGCUCCUGCGACACCGAGGUUUUUCUUGUGUUUCCACAGGUGGACGACUCAAGUUGGUCCCAAGAAAGAAUGUAAAGCCUUACCACGCACCGAAAUCUGCUGACACCCCCACACCAGACAGUUCCUCUACAAGCACAAGCCAAGAAGCCAGCACCCAGACCUGAACCACGCUGCGUCA